CAGUCGCCGCGGUAAUGCGUAGGUCCCGAGCGUUGUCCGGAUUUAUUGGGCGUAAAGCGAGCGCAGGCGGUUAGAUAAGUCUGAAGUUAAAGGCUGUGGCUUAACCAUAGUACGCUUUGGAAACUGUUUAACUUGAGUGCAAGAGGGGAGAGUGGAAUUCCAUGUGUAGCGGUGAAAUGCGUAGAUAUAUGGAGGAACACCGGUGGCGAAAGCGGCUCUCUGGCUUGUAACUGACGCUGAAGCUCGAAAGCGUGGGGAGCAAACAGGAUUAGAUACCCCCGUAGUCCCUGUCUCUUAUACA
rnacentral:rRNA from 1 species